CACGAGAUGCUCUUACCUGGCUACAGUCCACUUUGCUAUUCCUUUCUUGAAGACCUGUGGGCCUCAUUGACUACCUGACAGGCUGCCUGUUUGAGAAAGUGCCCUUAAAGCGAUGGAUGAAAGAGCCCCAGGACCUGCGAAGGGCUGGAAGAGCUUCUGUCAGCUGCCAUGGGAUUAGGUCAAACUAUACGGGAUCAGGAAGGAUGGCACCGCUCAAGAUAUUGGUCCAAAUUUGUACACCUGAUUGAAACUCCGCAAAGCCUGAGAACUUACACAGAGAUAACUCAUUGUUAUACUUAAUGGGAGGUUGGUUGUAUUGCAUCAGGUUCCCUUUAGGUUGCAGAGUAGUUGGACAAAGCAGAUUCUUGCCACACCAACAGGCAUCCUUUAAAAGCCUGGAAAUACUUCUGUAUAAAGAGAGACCACAGCUGCUUGAUUCAGAAAGCAGAUAAAAAAGUAAAUGUAUGAAUAGAGUCAAUAUGGAGUGGAAGAUGAACAAAAUAAUAAAUGUAAUAGAAAAUCAA